UCUAGCUAUCUAAGAUUGAACAAGGAAACGGAAAGAUGGUAUAUGCUGUCACCCAAAGCGUCUCAUCCGUCCUCGUCCCCGCCGAUCAUUUCGAUCUCCUUUCCCACCUCCAACCUCGGAGAGAGCGUUGAAAUUGAUCAAGUUGGUGCCUUUUUUUCUCUCAUCUUCGAAUCCGAUGGCGAAGCUGGAGUUCUUGAAGAGGGAAGGACUUCUUCCCGUUUUCCAUGUUCGAUUCUCGAAAAGACUGUUUGGGAUGUUGGAUUGUCGAGUACUAGAACACGGAAGAGCGCAUCUUGUUAUUUUUCCCCCAACAUGCAACCAAUUAGAAAAAGAGGAGGGGGGAGAUAGCAUAAGAUUUAGUUGAUUAAAUGAUUUUGCAAAAGAAGUCUAAGGAAUUUAAGUCUUCAGGAAGGAAAAAGGCAAGAGGGACUAUGCAUGGUAUGAUGCUUUUUCCUUGUUCUCUCAUUCAUAUUAUUCAUGAUUCUUGAAAUUUGAUUACGUCACUAAACUCAUCAAUCUAAGUUUCUGGGUGUAUUAUAAUUCUCCAUAAUAAUGAAGUGGGAACUGACACACUACUUUCAGAUAGACUAAAACUUUGGUUCGGUGUUAGUUUAUAUUUUGAAUUGAAAGUUCUGGACACCAUCGCUGUUUUGUAUUCUAGCUUGUUGGAAAAGAGAAAUUAUUGGAUAGACUAGGUUCACCAUAGAUCUAGAAUAAAAUCAUUCUAGGUGGUAUUGCUAUUAUACAUUAAAAAAAACUCAGAUUACAUAAACUUCUUACAAUUUAACAACCAUCUCUGCUAAUAUAUGGACUUCUGACAAUCUUUUUUUUUCUGGAGCGAUGACAGAGGAGGUAAGGCACUUCCCCUAAAUUUAUUAACCAAUGAGAGUAAAAUUAUUUAAUCUGGACUUCUGACAAUCAACGCCCAUCUGUGCUAAUUUCUCUGCUCUUCCAAAUGAAACUAACAGGAAGUUAUUAUUGAGAGACAUCAUGAUUUCUGGAGUUAGAACGAGGACGUUUCAUAUGACUGCUGGUAGGCUAGACCAGAUCCAUGCAGCUUUUGUUGCACAAUGUGAUCCAGCCUCUCCGCCAUCUCAGGGCUCAAACGAUUCACCCAAUCUCCAACCUUUCCUUCUCCGUAGAAAGAUGAAUUUUUGAAUGUCAACUUCUCCAAACUACGAUCCCCACUCCUGGUAGCUCAUUUUCUUGAAGCUGCACAGCCUCACCACCUCCUCCACCACGCCAUCCCUCUCUUCCUCCUCCGAGAACGGGCAACCAACCAGGUCUAAAUCUAUAAGCCGAAAACAAAUUUAAUGACUAAUAGCCAUCUUUACUCCUGAGAGACUGGAGGUUCUUAUCCCCCGCUCCAAUCAAUUAAAAAUAUUUUAAUGAGGAAGAAUUCUUUGGGGUUCAAACAUGGUAUUGAAAAGGUUCCUGGACAAAUGUUCACUAAUUUUAUAAUGUUGGUGAAUGUGAGAUUUGAUCUCUCAGAUCAUCUGAUACAAUUGACAAAGGUUCACUAAUUUUAUAAACGGGCAUCUUCCUAACUCUCCGUACUUUAUUUGGUGAAUACUGUAAAUGAACAUAAAUCUCUUAGUAAACCUACAAAAAAAACUUUACUAACCUAGUCAUAUAGCACCAAUAUUGGUAGCAUCAAAUUAUUUAUAUGUACCAAAAAAGUAAAUUAUUGAUAUCAUCUUAGAUUCCACAAACAAACCACGUAUUUGAUGGUUCAAUUAUAUAUCUAUCAUAAAUUGGCGGACCAUAAAUGUGUAGGUCGAUAUAUUUGCGUACUUAAUGUCUAUCUAGAAACGAUAUGCAUCUCUAUGUACGGAAAUUGUUAUCGAAGAAGUACCAGUACAAAUCUGGCCCAUAUUCUAAGUUGAUCCGAUGAUCCGGGAUGGAUUAUUUUUUAUUAAUUUAGUCGAGUUAUAAAGCUAUUGGUUCCAUUCAUUGGUCUAUGACUAUCAUUGACAUCAAAAGAUUUCGCACAAGCUUAACUAGGCAUGCUAGAGGAAUGGUAGACCUGGACCUAAUCUUAGAUUCACACCCAAACUCAACCCAUUGAACUAACAAGAACUAAGAGUUAAGACCUUUUCGAUCAGGUCACAAAUGGAUUACCAACAAUUUGGCCUUAGCCGACCAAACUAGAAUAAAAUCAAUGGCUGAUUCCUGGUGAAUGAGCCGGGUGAUUCCCUUGCCCUUGACAAAAGCACAAGUUGUAACGAGUCUUUCAACUCAUGAUAUGCUUUCUAAUAUACGCUAUUAUGAGUUGAGUGAAGGGCUUUGGUUGGGUCUAGAGAGAGUGAGUGUGAUUUUCACACUGAAUCAUUCAAUUCGAAAGGGGUUGACAGAGUUCCAACAAAAUAAAUAGCGAAAUAGAAGUUCCGUUCCGCUCGUUGUGGCCUUGACACAGCGUUAAAGGGAGAUGGGGUAUAGAACCGGAAUAAAGGACUAGAAGAAAGGUGUAAUCCGGUGGAACACGAUGAAAGCUAGAUUAGAAAUUCAAAUAUGCUUUAGAUCUAUGUUUUUACUUCUUGAUUUUUCACAGUUGCAGAGAUUAGCUUGUAUGUAAAGAAAUUAUGAAGGAUCAGAUUUAAAUAAUGAAACCCUUGAGUCUUGUGAGAUCAAAAGAAUAGUAUCUACCAAAAAUCAAUGUCUUUUGAAGCAAUUUUUUUUUGCAGGGAUCAUAAAAUAGAAACCUAAAUUAACAAAUCUGCUCUGGUUCUCUCUACAAUGCCUUUAUUUCUAGGAUUUAGUAAAAACAAUAAACCAUAGGUGAUGCUCAUUUUAGUCCAUGUUAAUUCUUUUGAAAGCAGAUACAAGUGGCACCAUUCAGUGCCAGUGUUAUCCACUUUCAGCAGUGAAGCCUUAACUGCCAAACAGUCAGCAUUUCAAAUUAAAGUUUUGAUACGAACAUGGUUCUUCUGCAAACACAACAGAGGAAAAGUUAUUUCACAUACACCAUGCAGCAAUAAUCUGUGAAAUGGAUCUUGAACAUAUAGCACAAGUACAUCUCGGUCCUCACUAUCUUUGAUGAAUGCUCGUACCCGUUCCUUCAAAGUUAAUAAAAUUUAGUGCAUGUAUAAGCAAAGCAAGCAUUCAAAAAAUGUGACUGUCUUAAAAGGAUGGAGAAAAAACAUUAGUAGAACAGAAUGCUUUGUUCAGUGCCUCUAGCUUGUUUAAAUCCUGACAUUACAAUUGCAACAAGACUAAAGCAGCAUUAUUAUGCAGUCUUCACCUCAAGAUUGACCUUAUCAUCCUAACUCUCUGACCUUGCAAAUAUGAUAGGAAUUUAAUGUUCUUAAGUUAUAGUAAUUUUAUAUGCCUUCAGCUUUUAAGCACAGGCGCUUUCUAUGGUUAACUUGGUUGCUGAUACGAAAUGGUAUCCCAUGCCAUGAUAUAAGUCAUUAUGUGAUAACAAUGCACAAAAGAGCAAAUGUAACGUAAAUAAGGCUUAGGAGACUAGAAAUAUAAUAAAACCUUAAAAAAAAGGGCAAAUAUAUGAUCUAGAAGAAGAGAGGUGCAAGCACUUCAAAUAUAAGAGUAAUUGGCCAUAUUGCUGAAAAACCCUCAUGACUAAAAGAUAUCAUAAAGGGUUUCAAAAGUAAAUAUGAAAGAUUACAACUAGGUGAAUGAAUGCAAACGAAGGAAGCUUUGAAGAAUAUGGGAAUUAUUUGUCCAGAAAAAGCACUUGUUCACAGGUUUUGGGGAAAUACAAGAAAGGGGGCACUAAAAGCUCCAAGGAACAUAUGUGCCGCGAAGACAGAGUCAGAUAUGUGAGGUAAAGAACUUGCAUUAGUUAGACCAAAAGAUGUAAAGUGGUGGACUGUUGAAGAGGAGCUGGUGGAAAAGGUGCUCAAAGUUGUAUCAAAUAAUAGAGAAAAUGAUGUUACUAAAAUCUAGGAAUGCUGACAAAGAUUAGGAAGAAAAUGGGUUCUCAAUAGAUACCUCCAAAUAUCACACACUGCUGUUUUCUCAAAAUGGCAAAGAAAGGGUUUUAAUAGUUUGCCUGAGGGGAAACCCCUUGUAUAUUAAUUGAUUCUAAAUGUGAUCACUUGCAAAUGUAAAUUGUUUAUCAUAGAGAGCUAUUGGCUUAGGAGAGCAGCUUGCUGCUUCAGCUACAAUGCUAGAUUAAGCAGCUACAGCUUAAUAAAAUAAUAAUAUUCAUGUCAAUCGACUCUUGCAUUAUGAUGAUAGCUUCCAACUUAUGCAUCAAGUUGAUGUUCUUUGCCUUAGUUACCAAUCUCAUUUUAUUAUUUCUAUUUGAUCUUCACAAAUCACAAUUAACUAAACACUAGUUUUGCCCCUUGGUGCAAUAAUAGCAGGAUUGCGAAGCAAGUGGAUCUUGCUUUCAACAGCAUUGCAUAAAGGCAUAACCCCUUAGAAGUAAAUUUAAAGCAUUCAUCUGAAAAAUAGCAUGGUCUAAUUUUGGCCCUUCGAAGGCCGUAAAAUGUUAAACAAGGAAAAAAAAAUCUUCAUUCAUGAGAAAAAAAAGGAUAGUUUUUUUCUGUCAUUUUUCACAAAGACCAGAUUACCUUGUAUGUUGUGGAUUGUGCAAAGAUAUAUUAUGGAGUCAUUGGAUUUGAUGAUCAUUUGGCCCCCUAACAUCCCAAAAAUUCUUUGCUAUUUAUGGAGUCAGGCGGUCCAUCAGGGCAAAAAUUUUGUGGAUAGAUGCCCAUCUACCACUUAUUCUCUGCUUCCUUUCAAAAGCUCAAGGGCUAAAGGUGAUUUUGGUGGGUUUUUUGGAGAGAAAAAAUCCAACUUAAUGUUCUAUUUGGCAAGCCACUUCUAUUCUCUUGCGGAAAUGACCUGCUUUGGAUUGAACACGACCAUUAUACCUUCCAUCUCUUGAUGGAUUGCAUGCACUUUAUGGGAACUGAAUCAUUGAUGCAUGCAUAUCAUUAAUGGCAGGUCGAUGCACAUAACAGGAAAUGCUCUUGUGGCAGUCAUAAGGGCAGGGACAUAAGUGUUUGGUGAAGUCCAAAAUUGAUUGUUUUUGUAAAAGAUUAUAACCAACUUCUCUUUCAAAUGAUGAGAAUGAACUGUAGAGAAAUGGCCUCAGGUGAGAUCAUUGAGCACUCAUGUACAAUUACAACAGGAAUGCAAAUAAGAAGCUGCUGAGACUUGAGCUUGGCAACAAGCUCAUCGGUUAGAAUGAA